rnacentral:tRNA from 1 species
UCAGGGGUAUUUAAGUUUUAAACAUCAUUAUUUCAAAAUGAAGAAGGUCUUUUUAU